UACGUAGGGUCCGAGCGUUGUCCGGAAUUACUGGGCGUAAAGAGCUCGUAGGUGGUUUGUCACGUUGUUCGUGAAAACCCACAGCUCAACUGUGGGCGUGCGAGCGAUACGGGCAGACUAGAGUACUGCAGGGGAGACUGGAAUUCCUGGUGUAGCGGUGGAAUGCGCAGAUAUCAGGAGGAACACCGGUGGCGAAGGCGGGCCUCUGGGCAGUAACUGACGCUGAGGAGCGAAAGCGUGGGGAGCGAACAGG
rnacentral:rRNA from 1 species